CGCAUCUGUGCAUGCAGCAUAUCAAUAAGCGGAGGAAAAGAAACUAACAAGGAUUCCCUUAGUAACGGCGAGUGAAGCGGGAAGAGCUCAAAUUUGAAAUCUUCAAGGUUUUACCUUGACGAAUUGUAGUUUAAAGAAGUGUUUUCUGUUGAAGUUUUGGUAAAAGUUCUUUGGAAUAGGACAUCAUAGAGGGUGAGAAUCCCGUAUUUGACCAUUAUUUUCAGCUGUGUGAUACACUUUCAAAGAGUCGGAUUGUUUGGGAAUGCAGUCCAAAAUGGGUGGUAAAUUUCAUCUAAAGCUAAAUAUUGGCGAGAGACCGAUAGCGAACAAGUACCGUGAGGGAAAGAUGAAAAGAACUUUGAAAAGAGAGUUAAACAGUACGUGAAAUUGUCAAAAGGGAAGCGUUUGACACCAGUGUUGUUUUCCUCGAAAAUCAAUUAAAAAGAGUUAGAUUUUGUUGUGUAUUGACCUUAACAGCUUGCAUUUCAAUUUUCUUGCUUUUUUUAAUGCACUUUUCGUUUAACAAGUCAACAUCAGUUUCUUUUGUUGUAAAAAGGUCAUUGGAAGGUGGCUUUCUUUUCGGAGAAAGUGUUUAUAGCCUUUGACUCCUGCAAUCGGAGAGACUGAGGUCUGCAGCGUAGAUCCUUCGGGGUUAGAUACAUUUGUGCUAGGUUAUAGCUUUUUAUAGACAACUUGUUGACUAUGAUUAGUCUUGUAGCUUACUCGCUUAUGCUAUUUUACCUACGCUUAGGAUGUUGAUGUGAUACUGCGAGCA
rnacentral:rRNA from 1 species